AAAACUUUCUACGGAAAGCAAAUGUCAAGUUUCGGGAAUUCCCGUAAUGACGCCUAUCGUAAAUAAAUGUUUACUAUUGAUGACAUUCUCUUUAAGUUCUCUGACUUCUAAUUCCAUCGGGAGAGUUACUGUUAUUAGUUUUGUGCUUCUAAAAGUUUUUUUAAACCCUUGCAGCCAACAUCAAGCGAGACAUGAUCUACUAUCAUCAUGCAGACGUGACGACACUACCAGCCUCGCUGUGUGUCUCAACAAUACACAUCAGCAAAAACUUGCGCAAUGGCCGUCUCUCUUCUAGUAUAUUACACAAAGCGGGAGCUGGUAUUCAAACAGAAAUCAAUACAAAAG
rnacentral:sRNA from 1 species